rnacentral:rRNA from 1 species
CGACCGGCGCACGGGUGCGUAACGCGUAUGCAACCUACCUUUAACAGGGGGAUAACACUGAGAAAUUGGUACUAAUACCCCAUAAUAUCAUAGAAGGCAUCUUUUAUGGUUGAAAAUUCCAUGGUUAGAGAUGGGCAUGCGUUGUAUUAGCUAGUUGGUGGGGUAACGGCUCACCAAGGCGACGAUACAUAGGGGGACUGAGAGGUUAACCCCCCACACUGGUACUGAGACACGGACCAG